CGGGGUGUGGCGCAGUUUGGUAGCGCGCGCCGUUCGGGACGGCGAGGUCAUCGGUUCAAGUCCGGUCACCCCGACAA
rnacentral:tRNA from 1 species